rnacentral:rRNA from 1 species
GUGGGGAAUCUUGCGCAAUGGGCGAAAGCCUGACGCAGCCAUGCCUCGUGAAUGAUGAAGGUCUUAGGAUUGUAAAAUUCUUUCACCGGGGACGAUAAUGACGGUACCCGGAGAAGAAGCUCCGGCUAACUUCGUGCCAGCAGCCGCGGUAAUACGAAGGGGGCUAGCGUUGCUCGGAAUUACUGGGCGUAAAGGGCGCGUAGGCGGACAGCUUAGUCAGAGGUGAAAGCCCAGGGCUCAACCUUGGAAUUGCCUUUGAUACUGGCUGUCUUGAGUUUGGGAGAGGUGAGUGGAACUCCGAGUGUAGAGGUGAAAUUCGUAGAUAUUCGGAAGAACACCAGUGGCGAAGGCGACUCACUGGCCCAAUACUGACGCUGAGGCGCGAAAGCGUGGGGAGCAAACAGGAUUAGAUACCCUUGUAGUCC